rnacentral:sRNA from 1 species
AACAGGUUGGGUGCCGCGGGCUGGGGUAGGCGGCGGUUGGGUCCGUGGCUCGGGGCACUGGGAAGAUCGCGAGUCGUGCGCGUGGGAAGGUCCUCCCCCGGUCCUCCGGGUCAUCUUUGCUCCGAGGAGCGGCAUAUUUCGCAUCUGCCUGGAGGUUAGAGUUACUUGUUAUUGGUAAAUAGCCACUAUGGAGACUAAGGACCAGAAGAAACACAGAAAGAAAACAGUGGACCCAAAGCUGCAAAGAAAAGAAGUGGCAUCUGCAGGAUCUCCAGCUAGGAGACGAAGAAAAUGCCCAGAAGAGAAAUGCCAGUGCUUUUGCAGUUCAGUCUGCUGUGUGGAUGUCUCGAUCCUUUCACAGGACUCUGGAUUUGAAGACACAAAAGCAUCAUAUUCCAGUGGUUGAUGGAACUCCACUAGAGCCGCCACCAAUAGUGGUAGUGGUGAUGGGGCCUCCAAAGUUGGAAAGAGCACUUUGAUAUAAUGCCUCAUUCGGAACUUCACCUGGCAGAAGUUCACCGAGAUCAGAGGCCCUGUGACGAUCGUGUCAGGUAAAAAGUGCAGACUCACCAUUAUUGAAUGUGGGUGUGACAUUAACAUGAUGAUUGAUCUGGCUAAAGUAGCAGAUGAUCUGGUACUGAUGCUUAUAGAUGCCAGCUUUGGGUUUGAAAUGGAAAUGUUUGAGUUUCUAAACAUCUGUCAAGCACAUGGCUUUCCUAAAAUUCUGGGAGUUCUCACCCACCUCGACUCCUUCAAGCAUAACAAGCAACUGAAGAAGACAAAGAAGCGAUUAAAACACAGGUUCUGGACAGAAGUUUACCAGGUUGCCAAACUGUUCUACCUUUCUGGAAUGGUGCAUGGAGAAUAUCAAAACCAAGAAAUCCACAAUCUGGGCCACUUUAUUACAGUUAUGAAGUUUAGGCCUCUCAUGGCAAACUUUUCACCCUUAUAUCCUGGCAGACAGGAUGGAAGAUUUGACAAACCCGGAGGAUAUCCAAACAAACAUCAAAUGUGACUGGCAGGUGUCACUUUAUGGUUAUUUAAGAGGAGCACACUUGAAAAAUAAAAGCCAAAUUCACAUGCCAGGACAAGGUGGGGCUCACCCAUGAGCUGGUCCAGAGUCUCAUCUCCACCUACUCCACCAUUGAUGCCAAGAUGGCUUCAAGUCGAGUGAUGCUGCUUUCCAAUUCCAAACCACUUGGGUCAGAGGCUAUAGAUAAUCAGGCGUCAGCCUCGAGUUUGACCAGCAGCAGGGGUCGGUGUGUCCCUCUGAAUCUGAGAUCUAUGAGGCAGGAACUGGGACAGGAUGGCAGGAGCACCCAUGGCUGCUGCUGUACAGCCUGCUGAGGUGACUGUUGAAGUUGGUGAGGACCUCCACAUGCACCACGUUCGUGACCGGGAGAUGCCUGAAGCUUUGGAGUUUAACCUUUCUGCCAAUCCAGAGUCAAGCACAAUAUUCCAGAGGAACUCUCAAACAGAUGCUUUGGAGUUUAACCCUUCUGCCAAUCCAGAGGCAAGCACAAUAUUCCAGAGGAACUCUCAAACAGAUGUUGUAGAAAUAAGAAGAAGCAACUGUACAAACCAUGUAAGUA